UCCGGUAUGGUGUAACGGCUAACAUUGCCGCCUUUCAUAUCUUCAGGAUUUGUUGUAUAUCCCAUCGCGGCAGCUCGGGGUCGAUUCCCCGUACCGGAA